AUUGAACGCUGGCGGCAUGCCUUACACAUGCAAGUCGAACGGCAGCACGGGUGCUUGCCCCUGGUGGCGAGUGGCGAACGGGUGAGUAAUACAUCGGAACAUGUCCUGUAGUGGGGGAUAGCCCGGCGAAAGCCGGAUUAAUACCGCAUACGAUCUACGGAUGAAAGCGGGGGACCUUCGGGCCUCGCGCUAUAGGGUUGGCCGAUGGCUGAUUAGCUAGUUGGGUGGGUAAAGGCCUACCAAGGCGACGAUCAGUAGCUGGUCUGAGAGGACGACCAGCCACACUGGGACUGAGACACGGCCCAGACUCCUACGGGAGGCAGCAGUGGGGAAUUUUGGACAAUGGGCGAAAGCCUGAUCCAGCAAUGCCGCGUGUGUGAAGAAGGCCUUCGGGUUGUAAAGCACUUUUGUCCGGAAAGAAAUCCUUGGCCCUAAUACGGUCGGGGGAUGACGGUACCGGAAGAAUAAGCACCGGCUAACUACGUG
rnacentral:rRNA from 1 species